rfam:Schistosoma mansoni strain Puerto Rico chromosome 2, complete genome
GCACUGCUGAGGAGUCCCACGAUGAGACGAAACGGCCGUCCAGUGC